rnacentral:tRNA from 1 species
GGGCCGCUGGUGUAGGCGGUAUGCACGGCGGACUGAAGAUCCGCAGGGACAGGUUCAACUCCUGAUCGGCCCA